rnacentral:rRNA from 1 species
CUGGCUCAGGAUGAACGCUAGCUACAGGCUUAACACAUGCAAGUCGAGGGGAAACGAUGAGAGAGC